AAAAAAAAUGAAACAAAUACGACUAUUCCUUCAGAUCUAGAUCAAUUUCUUUCACGCGACACUUCCUCCUCUUUCUCUCACGCUUCAUUCACCGAGCUCAAAACCCUGACCUAGUGAUCCUCGGUCGCCAUUGAAGAGAGAGAUUUGGUGAGAAGUGGAGGAGAUCGAGCUUCAUUGACGACGUGGCCGAGGAGGAGGAGGACGAUGAAUACGCCCUAUCGUGGUGGCGGCGGUGGGAGUGUAAGCGGAGCAAAAAGAGGCUCUAUGAUAUGGGUUUUCUUGAUCUUGAAGCGGUGGUCGAUUCAGAUAAGGAGGAUAAGGAGGAUGAGGGUUGAAGCUUGCUGGUGACUAGACCUCCGGGUGAUGGUAAAACCACUCUAAUAGUGAUUAGGAUAGUUGACAAGAUUUACUAUCGAUAUCGCGAAACCCACCGGUACGGUGGCGCCAGGGGCGGAUCCAAGUACACCCUUGGGAGGACUCAAGCCCACCCGAAACUUUUGGACUGAAAAAAAAAAAAAAAAAUCUAUAUGUAUGCUUCUUUUUUCUUCCGGUAAUUGAGUGCUGGCUUUGUCAAGCCCAUCCGAAGUCCCAACCAGCCAAACUUGAUUGCCUAACGAAGACUCUCACUCCCUCUCAGUCUCUCGUUCUCUAUACUUCUCUCAAAGAUCAAACCUUAGAUCCAUUGUCUGUCGGCUCUGUCCAUCUCUUCGUCUUCUACUCAUAUUCUUCAAUUUGCGGCAAUCAAUUCAAUUGGAUCGAGGAUUGUUUUGUGUGCCAUCGAUAUCAGAGGAAUGAUGAGGGCAGAGUUAUUUGCGGUGGAACUUGCCAACGAAAAUGAUACGAAUCAAACAUAUGAACGUCUUCACAGGCUCUUUACUUAGGUGGGUAUAUUUGAUAAAUAGCAACUGACAAUAAUUCAAGUCGUCCUCAGCCCCCAAGUCCAUGAAGGUUCCCUAUGGUUUGUCCUGAGCAGAUCCUUUCUGAAAUUUUGCAUUCUUGGUUGGGAUAAUCUUCCCCGAACAUUUAAGGACAUUUCAUUCAAUGCAGUAGCAAGCUCAAGAUCUCAAGCCAUGGUUUGUCCCAUUUUCUUAUCUGUUUUUUUGUUAAGUUGUUGACUUGAAAUUAUGGCUUGUCCAUUUCAGCUAUGAAGCCCAUCUGUUCUUAUCCUAGGCACUGGAGUCUAGCUAGUACUAUUUCUCUUUUGCUUGAAUGAAAUUUCCUGGAGCCAAAAAAAAAAAAAAAGGUCUUCAGAAAGGCAUGUAAUGCUGGUGUCAUUUAUGUCCUUCUGGACAUUUCAUUUGAAAAUGCAUCAAUCUAACAUCUCUGUUAUUGCUUUUUCCGUAAUCUUCAUUAAGAUCAUACAAAAUAACACUGUAUUCUAGUGACAGCUAACCAUGGUGUGGAACGUAAACAAGAUAGUUCUUUUUUAUAAGAGUCAAAUUAGGAGGCAGUUCAUUACCAAUUGAUGAAUCAAACUGUAAAAUUAAUUCUACCAAUGUAUAUGAGAAGUAUUCUUGUCUGCAUGCAUUAUCAUAUGGCGUGCGUCCUGUAACUUAGCUAUUUUAGGUAAUGUAGAGAACAUGCAUGGGAGUCACACUGAUGAGGCCGGUUGAAAAACAGAAAAUUGAAGGACAAUCACGCUUGGUUUGUCCACACAGUGUUCCUCUUCAAGUCACCCAGUGGGUGGGAAAUCAUGGGUGGCUUUGAAUUCACAGCUAGUCAAAAUCGGCUCUCACCAGUUGGAUAUUAAGCCUAAAUUGAAAGAUAAGGCUCAGACUAUCAGCUCCUAUUUGGAGGAGAUGGGGCAGAUGCAGACAACGAUUCAACUACCUUUUGUAACUUUAAGUAUGCUAAAGAACAGCUUGAGUAAUUCAUAGUUUGUUCGAUUCAACAUAGUAUAAAUAUUUAAUGUGAUUUGGUGUAGUUUAUGUAUACCAGACUAGAAUGUUUAUGAGUGGCAUUUUGUAUGUUUAUGACAUUUUGUAUUGCACCAUUUCAUUAGUUUUAUUGUAAGUUUACAAUGUUAAUAUAUCUUAAUAACUUUUGCA